UACGUAGGGAGCAAGCGUUGUCCGGAAUCAUUGGGCGUAAAGCGCGCGUAGGUGGCUUCGUAAGUCCGUUGUGAAAGUCAAAGGCUCAACCUUUGAAAGCCGAUGGAUACUGUGAAGCUAGAGUACGGAAGAGGCGAGUGGAAUUCCUGGUGUAGCGGUGGAAUGCGCAGAUAUCAGGAGGAACACCAAUAGCGAAGGCAGCUCGCUGGGACGUUACUGACACUGAGGCGCGAAGCGUGGGGAGCGAACAGG
rnacentral:rRNA from 1 species